rnacentral:rRNA from 1 species
UGCGGUAUAUUGGACAAUGGGUGAGAGCCUGAUCCAGCCAUCCCGCGUGAAGGAUGACGGUCCUAUGGAUUGUAAACUUCUUUUGUACAGGGAUAAACCUACUCUCGUGAGGGUAGCUGCAGGUACUGUACGAAUAAGCACCGGCUAACUCCGUGCCAGCAGCCGCGGUAAUACGGAGGGUGCAAGCGUUAUCCGGAUUUAUUGGGUUUAAAGGGUCCGUAGGCGGACUUGUAAGUCAGUGGUGAAAUCUCAUAGCUUAACUAUGAAACUGCCAUUGAUACUGCAGGUCUUGAGUAAAUUUGAAGUGGCUGGAAUAAGUAGUGUAGCGGUGAAAUGCAUAGAUAUUACUUAGAACACCAAUUGCGAAGGCAGGUCACUAAGAUUUAACUGACGCUGAUGGACGAAAGCGUGGGGAGCGAACA